AACGAACGCUGGCGGCAUGCCUAACACAUGCAAGUCGAACGAGACCUUCGGGUCUAGUGGCGCACGGGUGCGUAACGCGUGGGAAUCUGCCCUUGGGUUCGGCAUAACAGUUGGAAACGACUGCUAAUACCGGAUGAUGACGUAAGUCCAAAGAUUUAUCGCCCAGGGAUGAGCCCGCGUAGGAUUAGCUAGUUGGUGGGGUAAAGGCCUACCAAGGCGACGAUCCUUAGCUGGUCUGAGAGGAUGAUCAGCCACACUGGGACUGAGACACGGCCCAGACUCCUACGGGAGGGAGCAGUGGGGAAUAUUGGACAAUGGGCGAAAGCCUGAUCCAGCAAUGCCGGGUGAGUGAUGAAGGCCUUAGGGUUGUAAAGCUCUUUUACCCGGGAUGAUAAUGACAGUACCGGGAGAAUAAGCCCCGGCUAACUCCGUG
rnacentral:rRNA from 1 species